UUGCCCUACGGGAGGCAGCAGUAGGGAAUCUUCCACAAUGGGCGAAAGCCUGAUGGAGCAACGCCGCGUGGGUGAAGAAGGUCUUCGGAUCGUAAAACCCUGUUGUUAGAGAAGAAAGUGCGUGAGAGUAACUGUUCACGUUUCGACGGUAUCUAACCAGAAAGCCACGGCUAACUACGUGCCAGCAGCCGCGGUAAUACGUAGGUGGCAAGCGUUAUCCGGAUUUAUUGGGCGUAAAGGGAACGCAGGCGGUCUUUUAAUGCUGUUGUGGAAGCCUUCGGCUUAACCGGAGUA
rnacentral:rRNA from 1 species